GGGGUUAUAGCUCAGCAGUAGAGUGCUUGCCUUGCAAGCAGGAGGUACUGGGUUCAAUCCUUGGCACCA
rnacentral:tRNA from 1 species